CGGGGUUACAGCCUUGCUGAAUUAUUCACCCUUGUCUUUUGCGUACUUCUUGUUUCCUUGGUGGGUUCGCCCACCACUAGGACAAACAUAAACCUUUUGUAAUUGCAAUCAGCGUCAGUAACAAAUUAAUAAUUACAACUUUCAACAACGGAUCUCUUGGUUCUGGCAUCGAUGAAGAACGCAGCGAAAUGCGAUAAGUAGUGUGAAUUGCAGAAUUCAGUGAAUCAUCGAAUCUUUGAACGCACAUUGCGCCCUUUGGUAUUCCAAAGGGCAUGCCUGUUCGAGCGUCAUUUGUACCCUCAAGCUUUGCUUGGUGUUGGGCGUCUUGUCUCUAGCUUUGCUGGAGACUCGCCUUAAAGUAAUUGGCAGCCGGCCUACUGGUUUCGGAGCGCAGCACAAGUCGCACUCUCUAUCAGCAAAGGUCUAGCAUCCAUUAAGCCUUUUUUUUUCAACUUUUGACCUCGGAUCAGGUAGGGAUACCCGCUGAACUUAAGC
rnacentral:rRNA from 1 species